rnacentral:tRNA from 1 species
UCCCUGGUGGUCCAGUGGUUAGGACUCCUGGACUUCCACUGCAGGGAGCAUAGGUUCCAUCCCUGGUUGGGGAA